AAAACGGAGAGUUUGAUCCUGGCUCAGGAUGAACGCUGGCGGUAUGCUUAACACAUGCAAGUCGAACGGUGUCUUCGGACACAGUGGCGGACGGGUGAGUAACGCGUGAGAAUCUGGCUUUAGGUCUGGGACAACCACUGGAAACGGUGGCUAAUACCGGAUGUGCCAUUAGGGGUGAAAGGUUAACUGCCUGAAGAUGAGCUCGCGUCUGAUUAGCUAGUAGGUAGUGUAAUGGACUACCUAGGCGACGAUCAGUAGCUGGUCUGAGAGGACGAUCAGCCACACUGGGACUGAGACACGGCCCAGACUCCUACGGGAGGCAGCAGUGGGGAAUUUUCCGCAAUGGGCGAAAGCCUGACGGAGCAAUACCGCGUGAGGGAGGAAGGUUUUUGGAUUGUAAACCUCUUUUCUCAAGGAAGAAGAAAGUGACGGUACUUGAGGAAUAAGCAUCGGCUAACUCCGUGCCAGCAGCCGCGGUAAUACGGAGGAUGCAAGCGUUAUCCGGAAUCAUUGGGCGUAAAGCGUCCGCAGGUGGUUAAUCAAGUCUGCUGUUAAAGACAGAAGCUCAACUUCUGAUAGGCAGUGGAAACUGGGUAACUAGAGUAUGGUAGGGGUUGAGGGAAUUCCCAGUGUAGCGGUGAAAUGCGUAGAUAUUGGGAAGAACACCAGUGGCGAAGGCGCUCAACUGGGCCAUAACUGACACUCAGGGACGAAAGCUAGGGUAGCGAAAGGGAUUAGAUACCCCUGUAGUCUUAGCUGUAAACGAUGAACACUAGGCGUUGCUUGUAUCGACCCGAGCAGUGCCGUAGCCAACGCGUUAAGUGUUCCGCCUGGGGAGUACGCACGCAAGUGUGAAACUCAAAGGAAUUGACGGGGGCCCGCACAAGCGGUGGAGUAUGUGGUUUAAUUCGAUGCAACGCGAAGAACCUUACCAGGACUUGACAUCUCGAGAAGUUCGCCUCAUAGCGAAUGUGCCUUAGGGAACUCGAAGACAGGUGGUGCAUGGCUGUCGUCAGCUCGUGUCGUGAGAUGUUGGGUUAAGUCCCGCAACGAGCGCAACCCUCGUUCUUAGUUGCCAGCAUUAAGUUGGGCACUUUAGGAAGACUGCCGGUGACAAACCGGAGGAAGGUGGGGAUGACGUCAAGUCAGCAUGCCCCUUACGUUCUGGGCUACACACGUACUACAAUGGUUGGGACAAAGGGCAGCAAACGAGCAAUCGCGAGCGAAUCUCAUCAAACCCAGCCUCAGUUCAGAUUGCAGGCUGCAACUCGCCUGCAUGAAGGAGGAAUCGCUAGUAAUCGCAGGUCAGCAUACUGCGGUGAAUUCGUUCCCGGGCCUUGUACACACCGCCCGUCACACCAUGGAAGUUGGCCACGCCCGAAGUCGUUACCCUAACCCUUUUGGGAGGGGGAUGCCGAAGGCAGGGCUGGUGACUAGGGUGAAGUCGUAACAAGGUAGCCGUACCGGAAGGUGUGGCUGGAUCACCUCCU
rnacentral:rRNA from 1 species